UCCGAUAUGGUGUAGUGGCUAACAUUAUCGCCUCUCAUCUUGAACGCGAUAGCCCGGGGUUCGAUUCCCCGUGUCGGAA
rnacentral:tRNA from 2 species